rnacentral:rRNA from 1 species
UACGAAGGGGGCUAGCGUUGCUCGGAAUCACUGGGCGUAAAGCGCACGUAGGCGGCUUUCUAAGUCAGGGGUGAAAUCCUGGAGCUCAACUCCAGAACUGCCUUUGAUACUGGAGAGCUUGAGUCCGGAAGAGGUGAGUGGAACUCCGAGUGUAGAGGUGAAAUUCGUAGAUAUUCGGAAGAACACCAGUGGCGAAGGCGGCUCACUGGUCCGGUACUGACGCUGAUGGUGCGAAAGCGUGGGGAGCAAACAGGG